rnacentral:rRNA from 1 species
UACGAGGGGGGCGAGCGUUGUUCGGAAUUAUUGGGCUUAAAGGGUGCGUAGGCGGUUUGGUAAGUCUUGUGUGAAAUCUUCGGGCUCAACUCGAAGUCUGCACGAGAAACUGCCGGGCUUGAGUAUGGGAGAGGUGAGUGGAAUUCCCGGUGUAGCGGUGAAAUGCGUAGAUAUCAGGAGGAACACCGAUGGCGAAGGCAGGUCUCUGGGCCGAUACUGACGCUGAGGAGCGAAAGCGUGGGGAGCGAACAGG